UACCAGCACCCCGAGUGGUCGGGACGUUUAUUGGGCCUAAAGCAUCCGUAGCCGGUUCUACGAGUCUUCCGUUAAAUCCAACUGCUUAACAGAUGGGCUGCGGAGGAUACUAUAAGACUAGGAGGCAGGAGAGGCAAGCGGUACUCAGUGGGUAGGGGUAAAAUCCGUUGAUCCAUUGAAGACCACCAGUGGCGAAGGCGGCUUGCCAGAAUGCGCUCGACGGUGAGGGAUGAAAGCUGGGGGAGCAAACCGG
rnacentral:rRNA from 1 species